rnacentral:rRNA from 1 species
AUACGGAGGGUGCAAGCGUUGUUCGGAAUCACUGGGCGUAAAGGGCGCGCAGGCGGUUUGGUAAGUCAGAUGUGAGAGCCCACGGCUCAACCGUGGAAGUGCAUUUGAAACUGCCAGACUUGAGUACCAGAGGGGAAAGUGGAAUUCCCGGUGUAGAGGUGAAAUUCGUAGAUAUCGGGAGGAAUACCGGUGGCGAAGGCGACUUUCUGGCUGGAUACUGACGCUGAGGCGCGAAAGCGUGGGGAGCAAACAGGAUUAGAUACCCUAGUAGUCC